UGGGCAACCUGCCCCUAGCUCUGGGAUAACUGCGGGAAACUGUAGCUAAUACCGGAUGUGACACGAGACUGCAUGGUCUUCGUGUGGAAAGAUUUAUCGGCUAGGGAUGGGCCCGCGGUCUAUCAGCUUGUUGGUGGGGUAAUGGCUCACCAAGGCGACGACGGAUAACCGGCCUGAGAGGGCGACCGGUCACACUGGGACUGAGACAUGGCCCAGACCUCCGUACGGGAGCAG
rnacentral:rRNA from 1 species